rnacentral:tRNA from 1 species
GCUGGUGUGGCUCAGUGGUUGAGCAUCGACCCAUGAAUCAAGACUUCAUUGGUUCGAUGCCUGAUUGUGGGUUUGAUCCCCACCCAGCA